GAUGAACGCUGGCGGCGUGCUUAACACAUGCAAGUCGAACGGACUUAUCUGAAGCUUGCUUUGGAUAAGUUAGUGGCGGACGGGUGAGUAACGCGUGGGUAACCUGCCUUGUACUGGGGGACAACAGUUGGAAACGACUGCUAAUACCGCAUAAGCCCACGGCCUCGCAUGAGGCUGUGGGAAAAACUCCGGUGGUACAAGAUGGACCCGCGUCUGAUUAGCUAGUUGGUGAGGUAACGGCCCACCAAGGCGACGAUCAGUAGCCGGCCUGAGAGGGUGAACGGCCACAUUGGGACUGAGACACGGCCCAAACACCUACGGGUGGCAG
rnacentral:rRNA from 1 species